rnacentral:rRNA from 1 species
GACGAACGCUGGCGGCGUGCCUAAUACAUGCAAGUAGAACGCUGAAGAGAGGAGCUUGCUCUUCUUGGAUGAGUUGCGAACGGGUGAGUAACGCGUAGGUAACCUGCCUGGUAGCGGGGGAUAACUAUUGGAAACGAUAGCUAAUACCGCAUAAAAUGGAUUAUCGCAUGAUAAUCCAUUGAAAGGUGCAAAUGCAUCACUACCAGAUGGACCUGCGUUGUAUUAGCUAGUUGGUGGGGUAACGGCUCACCAAGGCGACGAUACAUAGCCGACCUGAGAGGGUGAUCGGCCACACUGGGACUGAGACACGGCCCAGACUCCUACGGGAGGCAGCAGUAGGGAAUCUUCGGCAAUGGACGGAAGUCUGACCGAGCAACGCCGCGUGAGUGAAGAAGGGUUUCGGAUCGUAAAGCUCUGUUGUAAGAGAAGAACGAGUGUGAGAGUGGAAAGUUCACACUGUGACGGUAUCUGACCAGAAAGGGACGGCUAACUACGUG